rnacentral:rRNA from 1 species
GACGGAGGAUGCAAGCGUUAUCCGGAAUUAUUGGGCGUAAAGCGUCCGCAGGUGGCUUUUCAAGUCUGUUGUCAAAGCGCGGGGCUUAACUCCGUACAGGCAAUGGAAACUGUGAAGCUAGAGUAUGGUAGGGGUAGAGGGAAUUCCCGGUGUAGCGGUGAAAUGCGUUGAUAUCGACCGGAACUCCGGUGGCGAAGGCGAGGCGCUGGACCCUUUCUGACGCUGAGGCGCGAAAGCCAGGGGAGCAAACGGG